CUCUGUGUGAUUUGUGAGUGGCUUAGGGAGCAUUCACGCAAUAUAGCUGAGUGUAGGGUUCUGUAUGCAAUUGUGCUGAGAGAUAACAGCACCUGAGGGGUUUGCUGCUUGUCACUAGCAAAGCAUUGUGAGAUACAGCCCAGGCUGGAGCAUUAAGAGGGCACAAUGUUACCCCAGUUCCAGGUUGUACCCCGGGGAUCCCAUCACAGAGCCCCACUUGUAGUGGCAGGCAGAUGGGCCCUGCCCUUCCCAAAGAGAUAGUGGUAGCAGUAUGGGCUUUCUUGUCCCCUGCCUCACAGGCGUGGCAGCAGAGAUCCACUGCCCCACCAUGGUAGCAGCAAGUGCUCCUCCUCCCUCCCCCUGCCCCGUACUUACCUCUGCAGCCAAAGUGUACCUGGUUGGGUUGGGAGUGAGCCAGGCCUGCUGCGCUCUCCCACUGCUACGUGCACAAUCCCCUGUUGGGGUGGUGUUGGCAGGGUCCGCCAGAGCAAUGGGUUUUGAACUUAAUACCCCUUAGUGUGUUAUCUAGGCCUUAGGUUUAGACCUAUAAAGCCUUUGCAGUAGUUGGCCCACAAGUUCAGUGGGUUGUUACAUGAUUUGGUUCAGACUUGCUUGAGGAAUCAUGCAUGUGUUUAUCUUAUUCAUCAGUGCUAAGCCCUCUCACUGAAACAGAAUAUAUGGCUGUAGGGAGGGUGGAGACUCUGUUCAAGUCCACCUUUCCAGAUUUAGUGACUCUACCCGGACAAGGGCUGAAAGACCUGAGUACCAGCAACAGAAAAAUCUCUGGGUUUGAAGGGCUGCUACUCAAACAGUUUCUACUUGACUAGAGCACUAAGUGACUUCUUCCUUGCGAGCCAGCCAUGAACAGAGGAGGAAGACUUUCAUGCUUGGUUUUAUUACCAUUUAUGCAGAAACCUCUUUUCAGAGCUUUUUCUUUUCUAAAUAAAUUUUACUUUUUUUGAAUUUCUAAUAUGUGUUGUCUUUUGUUCCCUGUGUGAAAAGUUUUGCUUCAGUUUUUUCAAUCAGAUCCAAAAGCUGCUGAGCAAUCUGGUUGUCUGCUUUUGGGCCUGCUUGAGUUUUCCUAUCACAUGUCCAAUGUAAAAAAUGUUCAGAUCCACAGACGCCCAGCCUGUCGCCCGCUCCAGGGGUGCUAGCUAGAAUAUUGGUAAGGUGCAUGGUCCUCAGCAGCCUCUAGCUAGCGGUUUCUUAGCCCAUCCCUCUGCUCCGCAAAUUUGUGUUACUUAAUCCUAAAAUGGAUCCCUCCUAGCACAAAGCCAUUCCUCCCCCAGUUAUCCCUAGUGUUCUCAUUAUUGGCCGAGGCUACUCUAGGUGGACGCUGAGCAUUAACUCCCCUUUGCCCAGCUUUUCUGCAACACAAAGAAACUCCUCCAACAGAGUCAGCCAUAACUCAUGGCCACUUGAACAGGCCUGUCUGGGAUUCUCCACAGGGCACCAGUGUCAUGUCCACCCAUGUGCUCAAUAAUCAGUUCAGAUACUGAGACCUUCCUCUUAAGGCUCCCCAAAGUUUCAGAAAGAUGGAGAAUUCCAUACCAUGUAAUAUAACCUAAUAAUUUAACACAUGCAUUCCAUUACCAGCUCUGCCAUCAUCUUAUGCUGUUUUGCAUUAACAUAACUUUUUCUUAAUGUAAAUAAUCAACUGUAGCUGAGACUGUUGUGUCAGCUAAUAAAUAGUUAACUUUAUAAGAGGCACCAUUCCCCUUUACCACUCCAAACAAAAUCUGUCACUGAGUUCUUGUUGUGA